GGUGAUCCGAGGGUAAAGCUUCUCCUGACACAGCGUGACACAUCUUUAGUUUCUGCAACGAGAGAAACGACUCAUGGCUUCAAGGGUAUUUGUCCUUCUGUUAUAUUUAAACCACCUCCCGCUUUCCCUCGCAGAAAAUCAUUGUUGUCUGCCUCUCCCCGUCGGCUGGUUGGCUGCCGACGCUGCGAAGUCCACCGCUCGGCCCACGCUCCAUGUCCUACUGAAGAACAUGGGUUUGCUUUGCUCCUUACUCCCUUUGGGCAGCAGAGUGGAGUAUGGACGGGAGUGGGAGG